GAACGGGCUUGUGGCUGUCAUUGUGCAGGGUGGCGGGGUGAUGGGAGUUGUAGGCCACAUCUGGAAUGCAUCAGGUGGGCUUAUCCCAAAAAUACUUUAUGAGCCACCUGAAGGAAUGAGCAGUUUGAGGUGUUCGGCUAUGAACUGGUUGUUAUUGUUAUAACAAUAAUUUACAUCUUACCUGAUUAGCCCCCUGAAGUGGCUUCCAAAUAAUUUUCCAGGUUGCUGACUUGAAAACAAUGUUAUCUGAACUGUGUUUAUCUGAAAGGAAGGUGGCACUGUAUUUAAGGAGCUGGUGCUUCCAGACUGAGGAUUCCUAGCUACUAACAGAAAAGCUUUAUGGGACUGUAUUUCUCCUCCUUUAUGAAUCUUUUGUUUGUAAGAAAAAAAGAAACAAUGGAAUAAUACAGAUCUACUCCCAGCUCUAUUAUUUAGUAAAAUGCGGCUGCAGAAGCUGGAAGUUACAGCAAAAUUCGAAGAAUUGCCUGCUCUGCAUCCUCUAACCCAGCCUACUACCCCCACUGAUGGUAAACACUCUGUUUCCAGAUAUGGAAGGGAAAAACAUACCAUUUGUGAAUUGUAACAAGCCACAUUAUGCCUUGAGUCACACCUUCAGGACAGGAUUACAAAUGGAAGAUGGCAUCCAUAUUUGAGGCAAGACAAUUUUAUAAUAAAAGCCUGAUUUGGAAACAUGGAAGAGGAUGAGAUAUCCAAGAAAUAAAUCUACAAUGUUAAUAUCUUUCUGUCUCUCUUUCUCUGAGCAGAAAGCCUUCUUUUCAUUUAUAUUUUGGCCUGUUUUACAUCCACAGAUCCCAUGAAUUGUACUUAUCGUAAGUAUAUUUUCAUAUACAAUGUCAUACCUCAUUAAGCAGAGAAUUUAGUUUGGUGGGAAAUAAAGAAUUCCUGUCUCUCGAACUUCACUGAAAAAUAUCCACUUGUCUGCUGUAAAGCCCUAAAAUGAAUAUUCUUCCUAUAUGUUAUACAAAAACUUGUUUGAAUCAUAUAAACAUUGAUAAGAUUUACUCAGAUGUCAAAGAUUUCAAAAUUAAGUGUAAACUUGCAAAGUGAUUAAAGCCAAGUUUUAUAUAAUCGUAGUAUUACACACCAAUUCAGUAUACAUUAUCAAUUUGUAAAUAUGAGUUAGGAUCCAAAUAGCUUCUUUUGUUAAGCUUAUGCAUACCUAGGAAGAUGGGCAAGAUAUCUACUUAGCUAGAUGGGCAAAUUAUAAUGUGUAUCUUUUAUAGUUCUAUAAAAUAAUGUUAUCUGGUAUAAAAUGUUAUACAAGUGCUGACUGCACAAUUCUCUCUUCUCCGCAACUUUUAAACACAGAAACGUUUUGCCUGUAUUUGAAUUUGUGCAUCCGGAUUGUGCUUUUCUUCCUUUCAAUAGCAAAUUCGUACAGCCAAAAUAUCAAGUGUAGUGGUUUCAUGAGAAAUCACUGUGUGGGAAACACUAAUCCACCAUUUCUCUUCAGCCUCAUGGAACUGGAAAUGUACAGAAUCACAGAGAAGGGAGCAUUCAGGUCACCCUUUUUCAGUUUAAGAAUCCAAAUUAAACCAUCUCUAAUAAAUGCUCACCCUCUCCUUAAUGUUAUCCAGUGAAGGAGAAAAACUUCACCUUCCUUGAUAUUUGGUUCUACUGUUAAACUCCUCUUAAAAUUAGUAUCUUUUUAUUAAUAUUCCCCUGGCAUGUGCUUACUUGCAGUUUAGACUGUUACUGCAUGUUCAUUUCUCUGGCACAAUACAGAACAGAUCUUGGCCUUUGAGAGUUUCACAUUCCUUUGGAUUCUUAAAGUGCCAACAGUCUUCUCUUUUCAAGGCAGAACAUGACGGGUUUUCUCAGUCUUUUUAAAAUAAGACUCUGGUUUCAGUCCCCAGAUCAUCCACUGCACCUGUUCCAGUUUCUCUGAAUUUUCUUAAAAUACGGUUGUGUAGGAAUGGAUCUUAUGGGAGCUGAAUCUGAUCAUGCUGAAUCUGAUCGUGAACCUGAGUAUGUGGAAGUUGAACCUGGAUAUGAAGACGUGUGGUGGGCUGGCAUAUGAGAAUGUGUGCAUCUGUGACAGAAACUGUAUUCAGUGUUCUUGUCGAGAGUGAUGUAUUCCUUCCCAAUGACAUGCCCAUGCAAUUUUUAAAGGUAGUUAUGUGCUUUAUGGCUUCUUUGUAACCCCCUUGCUUGCCCCCUUGCUUGUUUUUGUAAUCUUUUAGCUUUUAAUAUAACUAUAUCAUUUAGUGAUUUUAUUGUAUCCUUGAAGAUAAAAAUAACUGUAUGAUUUGUGAUUUCCUUGAUCCGAUAGCAGAGAUGGAAGAGACCAGCUGUGGUCAGCCUGGUAAGGGGUCAUGGCUUGGACAACUGACAGAACAUACAAGAUCUAUAAGCCUGUAAUGUUAUUAUCCUGAUAGGAUAAGGGGAAGGGGUUGGGGUUAAGAUAAGUUUAAGAUAGAUAAUGAGUAGUAAUUAAUGUAUAGCAGGAGGAUGUUGUG